AUUGAACGCUGGCGGCAGGCCUAACACAUGCACGUCGAGCGGAGCGGCGGACGGGUGAGUAAUGCCUAGGAAUCUGCCUGGUAGUGGGGGAUACCGUCCGGAAACGGGCGCUAAUACCGCAUACUAUCAGAUGAGCCUAGGUCGGAUUAGCGAGUUGUUGGGGUAAAGGCCUACCAAGGCGACGAUCCGUAACUGGUCUGAGAGGAUGAUCAGUAACACGGGAACGGAGACACGGUCCGGGCUCAUACGGGAGGCAGCAUUGGGGAAUAUUGGACAAAGGGCGAAGACCUGAUCAAGCCAUGACGCGUGUGUGAAGAAGGUCUUCGGAUUGUAAAGCACUUUAAGUUGGGAGGCGUUACCAGCAGAAGAAGCACCGGCAAAAUUCGUGCCAGCAGCCGCGGUAAUAC
rnacentral:rRNA from 1 species